UACGGGGGGGGCAAGCGUUGUUCGGAAUUACUGGGCGUAAAGGGCUCGUAGGCGGCCAACUAAGUCGGACGUGAAAUCCCCAGGCUCAACCUGGGAACUGCGUCCGAUACUGGAUGGCUUGAAUCCGGGAGAGGGAUGCAGAAUUCCAGGUGUAGCGGUGAAAUGCGUAGAUAUCUGGAGGAACACCGGUGGCGAAGGCGGCAUCCUGGACCGAUACUGACGCUGAGGAGCGAAAGCCAGGGGAGCAAACGGG
rnacentral:rRNA from 1 species